rnacentral:rRNA from 1 species
GUUUACCGUGAAAAAAUUAGAGUGUUCAAAGCAGGCAGAUCCAAUUUUCUGCCACCGAAUACAUUAGCAUGGGAUAAUGGAAUAGGACCCUGUCCUCCUAUUUUCAGUUGGUUUUGGCAGCGCGAGGACUAGGGUAAUGAUUAAUAGGGAUAGUUGGGGGCAUUAAUAUUUAAUUGUCAGAGGUGAAAUUCUUGGAUUUAUGAAAGAUUAACUUCUGCGAAAGCAUCUGCCAAGGAUGUUUUCAUUAAUCAAGAACGAAAGUUAGGGGAUCGAAGACGAUCAGAUACCGUCGUAGUCUUAACCAUAAACGAUGCCGACCAGCGAUUAGGAGACGUUGAAUACAAAACACCACCAUCGGUGCGGUCGUCCUUGGCGUCUCGGUUUCGGCCGGGGUGCGGGACGGCUAGCCC